rnacentral:rRNA from 1 species
AUGGAGAUGAUACUGGACUGGCGCUCGGUGGGCUCGCUGAUCGCCACGGUCAUGGUGUUCCGAACGGCCAUGCGGGACUUCAUCCCGCCGGAGGCCGAGCAGUGGCUGCGGCGCCUGCUCGCGCGCCUCGCCGCCGCGUUCCGGGCGCCCACGGCCACCAUCCUCAUCGACGAGGCCGACGGCGCCAGCUCCGGCGCCACCAACGACCUCUACGACGCCGCGCAGCUCUACCUCGGCUCGCGCUGCCUCGCCGCCGCCCCCGCCGUGCGCCUCUACAAGCCGCGCCAGUCGGAGCGCGCCGUCGCCUCGCUCCCGGACUCGCACACCGCGGACGACACCUUCCAGGGCGUCCGUGUCAAGUGGACCUCCACCGCGCGCCCCGUCGAGCGCGGGGCCGGGCACAACCCCUACAACGUGUUCGGCAGCCGCGGCGGCGGUGCCGGCGGCGACCACCGCAGCCUCGAGCUCCAGUUCCCGCGCCAGCACCGCGACUUCGUGCACGACACCUACAUCCCCCACAUCAUCGCCGAGGCCACCCGGAUGCGGCUCAAGUCGCGGGAGCGCAGGCUCUACACCAACCGCGCCGCCGCGCCCGGCGACGACCACCACCGCCUCUGGACCUCCCACACCUUCUCCCACCCCUCCACCUUCGACACGCUCGCUGUCGACCCGGCGCUCCGCGAGGAGAUCCGCGCCGACCUACUCCGCUUCGCCGCCCGCCGGGAGCACUACGCGCGCGUCGGCCGCGCCUGGAAGCGCGGGUACCUGCUCCACGGCCCGCCCGGCACCGGCAAGACCAGCCUCGUGGCCGCCAUCGCCAACCUCCUCGAGUUCGACGUGUACGACCUGGAGCUCACCACGGUGCCCACCAACUCCCACCUCCGCCGCCUGCUCGUCUCCACCACGCCCAAGUCCGUCGUCGUCGUCGAGGACAUCGACUGCUCCCUCGACCUCUCCGACCGCAAGAAGAACUCCGGCGGCGCCGACGAGGACAACGCGCAGCUGGCGAUGCUCUCCCCGGCCGCCGCGGCGGCCAUGGCGGCGAUCGGGCGCGAGUCCAUCAGCCUCUCCGGCGUCCUCAACUUCGUGGACGGGCUCUGGUCGUCCUGCGUGGGCGAGCGCCUGAUGAUCUUCACCACCAACCAUCCGGAGCGGCUGGACCCGGCGCUGCUCCGCCCGGGCCGCAUGGACCGCAAGAUCGAGCUGGGCUACUGCACGCCCGCGGCGCUCCGCGUGCUCGCCAAGAACUACAUCGGCGUCGGCGAGGACCCCAUGGACGAGCCCGACACUGUGGUGGACGGCCUCAUGGCCGAGGCCGAGGGCCUGCUCGCCGCCGACGUGCGCAUCACGCCGGCAGACAUCGGCGAGGUGUUCAUGGGUUGCGACGGCGCGGGCGCCUCCGCCGCGCUGAGGAGGCUUGUCGGGGAGCUGCGCGGCAGGAGAGACACGCCGGCCGUCGACACGGUGCAGCCCGGUGCAUUGACAGAGGAGAAGAUGGAGUGA